CACGUAGGGCGCAAGCGUUGUCCGGAAUUAUUGGGCGUAAAGAGCUCGUCGGCGGUCUGUUGCGUCCGCUGUGAAAACUCGGGGCUUAACCCCGAGCCUGCAGUGGAUACGGGCAGACUAGAGGUAGGUAGGGGAGAAUGGAAUUCCCGGUGUAGCGGUGAAAUGCGCAGAUAUCGGGAGGAACACCGGUGGCGAAGGCGGUUCUCUGGGCCGAUACUGACGCUGAGGAGCGAAAGCGUGGGGAGCGAACAGG
rnacentral:rRNA from 1 species